ensembl:snRNA U6 U6 spliceosomal RNA
UUUUUUUUAUCAACACAUAUACUACAGUUGGAACAAUACAGAGAUUAGCAUGGCCCAGACACAAGGAUGAUAUGCAAAUUUAUGAAGCAUUCCAUAAAAAUUUUUU